CAAAAUGGGAGUCCAAACCACCUGUUCAUGGAGUUUAGUGUUCAUGGUCUAGAAGAGCCCUGGCUGGAUUUUAUAUGUACUAUUUCUGCCACUGGCCAAGUAAAGAUCAUAGGAGAUGCUCGACACUCAGAAGUCAAAGCAUGGAAAGUGAGGUGUGGCAAAAGGAAAGCAGCUUUUAUUGGUCAAACGCCUACAAAUGAGAGAAUGGCCAGGCUCAAGCCUCAAAGGAUUCAUGGUUGGCUAAGUACCAAGUUGUUCAGGAAAAAUAUCUCACAACACUUCCAAUCAGAAUUCAGAGGAAAUGUCACCUACGUAAACUGCAACUUGACCAACAGUUACUUACAGAGAACCAGUUUAAGGUUUAUUUUCCACCACUGUGACUUUGUGCCCUUCUGUAAGCAUAUCAGGGAAAAGGAAGUCGAUGAUUUUACUCACUUACUUUCUCGGUCUCUGGUGUCCUUCCUAUAAAUUUACUGCAAGAGAUGCUACCUUUUUUAUUCCUUGGUCCAUGGCCAUGCAUCAUCUGACUUCUGCUCACAUCACAUCAUCACAUUUCUUUCUCUGAGUCUGAUACUCCUUCUUACAAGAGCCAUUGUGAUUAUAUUGGACUCAUCCAAAUUAUUAAAGAUAUUUUUCC
rnacentral:lncRNA from 1 species